rfam:Aedes albopictus isolate Foshan contig16728, whole genome shotgun sequence.
UGUUCUGUGGCUUAGUAAGUUAAAGCGCCGGUCUAGCGAAUACGGAGUCGUGGGUUCGAAUCCCACCAGAAUGC